rnacentral:lncRNA from 1 species
UGAGGUCUCUGCCCAGCCCUGCCUCAGGCUGCUGCAGUUCAUUUAAUUCUCACAACAACCCUAGGAGGUUGCUCCUAAUGUCCCCACUACCCCAAAAGGGACAUCUCCGAGAAGGUGGGUGGAGGAGGGGGAGGGGACAUGCCUUGGGGGGUCAGCCACGUGCUCAUUCCAGAAGGAAGCACCCCACCCCACCCCACCCACGGAGUUGCCAGCAAGAUGCUGGUCGCCCCUGACCCGGGUCCCCCUCCUGAGAGGUUCCCAAAGGGACCCUUUUGCUCAGGACAUUGUUAGGACAGCAUGAUCAGUCACAAGGGACGACCCUCCUCGGGGAGGGCAGCACUCCAGUUCACUAGCAGAUGAACACGAGCACAGAUGUACAGGAAAGGGCUCAGACUCAAGACACAAGCAGAGCAAAGGUCAAGGGCCAUGGCCAGUGCCCCCUCACUAGGGCACUGGUUCAAGGUUUGAACCCCAGAGAAACUAGCUGGCCACUGAUGAUCCUCUUUGUCGCUUGUCCCUCGCUGUCCUGAUCCCAGGGGGGUCCACAAGGAGUUGCUCUGUAUGGUAGUGGGUUCCUGGAAUCCGUGCUCCUUGAGCCAGGUAAGAGAUUCUUCUGUGGGCGCCCCGGGUUUCUGGAAGAGCUGCAGCCAAGGCCAGCAGAGCCGAGGCGAGCUCUAU